rnacentral:lncRNA from 1 species
GUUCCGAAUGUAGCAGAAAUACUGACUGGGAAAGGGAAGACCCAAAUUCUAGUUUUCUCAUAGUAAAAUUAGUGAUGGUGGUAGUGGUAUGUCUAUAAGGUCCCCUCCAGAUCUAAGAUUCCCAAAGCUGUGCUGGCCACUGAUGAGCUUCUUUCUCUGAUGUCCAGCUUUGCCAUUUAUCUAUAACAUUGUCUUUAAGCAAUGGUGAACUGUUUUACUGAAUCCCUGUCCUAGCAUUUCUGGGGAAUAUUCCAGUUAAGCGGCAGUGCCAUUUAUCAGGGAAAAGAUGUGGUUUUAUAGGAUUCAGAGGUCCUGAUACCCAGAGGAGUGCUGCUUUCACUGAAAGGAAAUGAUAAGAAUCUCAAUGAGGCGGAAACUAUGACUACCGCCUGCCUCUACUUUGGGUUCCUCAUGCCAGUGACCUAACAAGCAAAGAAAGGAGUUACUAUUGUUUCGGGAGGAAAGAAAAUACGAGCAUAAAGAAGGUACCACUUAUUUUACCAAAACUUCAAAAGACACCAAAUCCAGGUCUCCAGGUCUCGGUAUUUGGAAGACCACCCAAAAACAACAGGAAGCAUGCUUUUUGAGUGAACAAGAGGAAUUUGCCACUGGCUUCAAGGACACUUGGAAUAAGAUGACCAGUAUUUCCUGCGGGAGUUUCAAAUGGCAUCAGGUGCAGUGGCUCCAGGCAACCUGGAAGCAUUCAUCAUCAUUUAUGGUCUACUCUUGAUUCUGUGAGGAGAUGAUUCACUUAGGCUUCCUACAGGCCAGGCCCAAAGAGGUGGCAGGCUACCAUGAGGACAACAAAGCCUAAAAGUCAUCCAGGUGGGACAUUGUGAACUACAGAACCUAUGUAUGAGGUAGAUUGCAAGUAUCUCCGGUCACAUUCACAAGCCAAUAAAAACAAUGCUGUCCUCCAUGAGAACAAAUCUAAUUAGAACAAAUCCCAGUCCUUUACAAAUACUGUAGACUGAAAUGCUUGUUUUAAAGAUAAAGACAUUUGGCCAGGAGCGGUGGCUAAUGCCUGUAAUCCCAGCACUUUGGAAGGCUGAGGCAGGCAGAUUACCUGAGGCCAGGAGUUCGAGACCAGCCUGGCCAACAUGGAGGAACCCUGUCUCUACUAAAAGCACAAAAAUUAGCCAGUCGUGGUGGCACGCGCCUGUAAUCCCAGCUACUCAAGAGGCUGACGCAGGAGAAUAGCUUGAAACCAGGAGGCAGAGGUUGCAGGGAGCUGAGAUCUCGCCAUUGCACUCCAGCCUGGGUGACAGAGUGAGACUCUGCCUCAAAAUAAACAAAUAAAAAUACAAAAAUUAGCCAGGCAUGCUGGCAUGCACCUGUAGUCCCAGCUACUCCAGAAGUUGAGGCAUGAGAAUCGCUUGAACCCGGGAGGCGGAGGUUGGAGUGAGCCGAGAUUACGCCAUUGCACUCCAGCCUGAGCUACAGAGUAAGACUCCAUCUCAAAAAUAAAUAAAUAAAAAUAAAGACAUUUGUUCAGCCCUUCAAACUGUCAAUGAGUAUGUUCUUGGAAAGGUUCCUUGUCAUCAAAUAUAAAUUGCAAUGAUCAAAGGCGAACUACGUAUCAAUAUGUAAUGAAAAAUAAUUUACUAGGAGUCUACAUUGGAGGAGAUGAACUCUACAGCAGAAAUGGUGCACCUCUGGGUUUGCCAAAGCAGAAAAAUUCUUGACAGCCUUUCCAAAAGUACAACCAAGUUCUUGUGCCCCAGAGUGGGGUGAGAUCUUAGAGAAGAGAGGCAUCUAUAGGGAUUAUUUUUGAAGUCUUGUUCACAGGUUUAAGCAGUUACAAUCACAAGUCUCUCUGCUCAACCACGACCAUCUAGGUUUGCCCAUUACUUUAUUUUUUAAUCUGACACAAAAGGAAAGACGCAGAGGUGAGAAAGGGAGGGGUAGAAAGGUGAAUUAUACUCUCUGUAUCCUGUUCUACCACUUGCCACAUUUCUAAAUUACCAAGAUUCCCAGGCACAAGAGUAUGUGUGAAUAUUUUGUUCUGUUUUUUUACUCAGUACUAAUAAUACACAAGAGCUGAAUAGUUACUGAAACUAUUUCCAGUUUCUUGCAUUUGAUAAUAGAUGGAGACCCGAUUCGAACUGACCUAGACACUUAAAUACUAUCCCAGACAGAGCCAUCCCCAAGUAGGUCACAGAGCUUCUCUGUGUCUGUUUCUUUAUUUGCAAAAUCAUACUGUAUCACCUGUCAAAUUCACAGAUUGUUAAGAAUUAAGUAAGUUCAUGGCUAUGAAACACCUUUAAAACUAUGAAGCACUAAAACAAAUUCAGUGGAUAGUGGCAAUUAUGAAGAGGAUGAUGAUGGAAAUGAGAGAGACUACAAAUGAAAAUUCUGUAUAUUUAUGAAAUUAUGGCUUAGUAUUUGUCAUUUGAGAAUUUCAAUGUUUUUGGACAUAUAGGACUGGGAUCAUAAAAAUUCAUGAGCAUAUUGGUGAUCCUCAAAUAAAAUCUGUUUUAAAUACAUAAUGUACACUUUCCAAAAGAAAAUUCGUGAUGUGCAUAUUUAUAUAUUUACUAGCACUAUCAAAAGGUACCAAAGAUGUUAACACUAAGUGCUAAGCAUUUUGCAUACUUCUGGAAGCUGUUCUUCCCUGCUUUGCCCACAUAAGUCACCUCCCUUGAAUGAUACUUGGGAAGGCCUGGUCACAAUCAUCUUUAGACAUUUGAUCUGACUGAGAUAAUGUCCCAUGAAGGUGCUGUGAUUUCGGUCAAAGGUGAAAUAAACAUUUUUCUCAGUAUUAUUGUCCAAGAGAUUUUACUUUUGACACUCUGGGUCUGCCUCAAGUGGCUGCUAGGUGAUAGAGGAUGAAAAAGAGAAGGAAUGAGUAAAACCUGAAGUGAGAACCAGAAGUUUUCCCUAAAAGAAGCUAAGUUUUUUAGGGUGAAGAUAAAGAUUUAAUUUUGCAAUAUUAAUUUCUACUGCCAGUGUAAAACUUUAUCUUUCUAGGUAUCUGUACACGUCUCUGCCCAAAGUACCCUCCUGCUACUAAGGCAAAGGAAAAACAUAUUGAUUUUUCUGCAAAUUCCCAUACCUUUCUUUCAAGUUGACUGCUUGGAAAUCUAUUCAAAUUGGAGACUGUAUCCUGUUUAGGUAGCUGAAGUUGACAGCAGAGCUUUAAUUAAUAAGGCGUGCAAGGACAAAGGCACUAGGCCCAAAUCAGAUACAAGCGACAUCUUCUUGUGGCUGCUCUGAGAAGCACAGCAAUUAUUUAUACUCUACCUUGGUGCUCAGGCAGAAGAAAUAAGGCUAGAGCAUGAAGAGCAAUGCUAUCUGCCAAUAUAUGAGAAUUAUAGCAUUCUGGAUGAACAGAGUUAUAUUAUCCCUGCUUUCAGAUAAGUAAACCAAGAAUCAGAGUGCGUGGAUUACUCUGCAAAUGGAGGUAGAAAGCCUGUGCCCUAUUUUCUUGUCCAUCUUCAAUAUCCUGUGCUGGGAUUUCAACAACACUUGAAAUCCUCUUGCUUUCCUCCUUUUGCCCAUUAUAUUCCUUAUCUACAGUGGGCAUUUUCAGUGCUGCCAACAGUGCCUAUGAAUCUACGUUCUAAAUGUCAGGACCUGCCAAGAUUUGUUAAUUAUCCUAACUCCCUCUGCUGGCGGAUUUAACUACAACCCAGAUUCAAAACUCAAUGGAACACAGUAACUGUUUAAAAUGUUUUUCAAGUUAAUUCACAUCAUAAAAGAGUAGGUCCGAAGAAGGAAGAAAACUACAAGGUGAAUUUUAGUUGAGAACGUAACUCACUAUAAUAUAAAUAAACUGGAGGUUUAAUAGUAUUUUUUAAACCAGCAUCUGGGAUAAGAUUUGUGAAAUAUGAAGUAGAUAAUGUUGGUAUAAUUUUUCCCCAUUCUCUUUUUGUUCCCACACUCCUUUUCAUUUUUGUGGCUUGUGAUAUUUCCCUUUGUCUCUAAGCUCUAGACUUCUACUUAAUAAGUACCAAUAAAGAUUGUAUGUUAUCCUUAAACAGUGGUAGCAUUCCCCACCUGCUAAUUGCUUUAUUUGUACUUACUGUUUCCGCCCUCUCAUCAACAGGGGCUUUAGUAUAAAGGGCAAUGAAGUAGAACGUGAUGAGGCGAACAGGAGCCAGCCGAGUGAAUGCUUCUAUAAUUACACAGUAGCCUGGAGUAGCUCUUCUCAAAUCAAAUUAUGAGCCUGGAUUACCUAAAACUCUCAGGACACAGCCCGGGUUUUCAUUUGUCUGUAGGUUACUGUCGACAAGCAGCCUUCUUUCCCCUUGCCAUUAUUCUUCACAGAGAUUAUCAAAGCUCC